GUGAGUAGGUUUAGUUUUGAGUAUGAUUUAAUAUUAAUUGUAAAUUAAUAUUGUAGGUAAUACAACUCAACUCAACUUACUUUCAAAAGUAUGUUUUGGUCUCAUCUAUUUAUAUACGUACACAAAUCCUAAUUCUAUACAUAUUACAAUACUAAGAUAUUAUUUAAUCCUAAUUCUAUUCUUAUUAUAAUUACGUUAAUUAUACACGAUUGGAUAAAAUACUAAAUUUGAAAUUCAUAUUUUUUUAGAGAAUUUACCUUUUAAAAGUUUUUUUCUACUUUUACGGUUUUUAUUUUUGGUUUUCAUUUUUAUAGUUUGUCUUUUUUAUUUUUACUUUAAAAUUAAUUUUUUGAAUUUAUUUUUAUUGAAUCACACUCCAUUUUCUCACCAAACUUCACUCUGUUCAUCUUAGUCUUCCGUCUUCUUACUGUAAUGGCUGUUCUCUUCGUCAAUCAUCCCAGCACUAUAAUUUUGUUCUUCAAAAUCCCAAAUCAUAACCCAAAUCACAAAAUUGCAACCCAAAUCCUUUAAUUACAUUUAUAUAGAAACCCACGUUGCAAUCCUAAAUCACCAUUGAGAAAUCUACUACAGAACAAGAAGAACAAGUUGAGUUUGUUUAGCUCAAUCAGGAAGGAAAAUUUAAUUGAUAGUUUGCUUGUGGUUAAUUUUGACUAUCAUUAUCUUCUUUCUCCAUUCAACCAUUCAUUAGUAUUGGCAAUAGUUUGACUAUUUUCAUCAUCAUCAUCAUCUUUCCUUUGAUCAACUCUUUAAGCUUCAAAGCUAAUUCAAGGUGAGAAAUUAAAUCUAAAAAGAUUAUAUCCUCCAACUCUUAUUUGGUUAGAGGCUGUCUUUUUAUCUUGUGUAAUUUUAAAGAAUGAAAAUGGUUCACACAAAGGUUUUCUUCAUGAUCUCUUCCGUCUCAUUUCGCUCCCCUUCCUUCUGCUUCUACUUCUUGUGUUGAAGUAAUGAUUUCAAGACCUGAUUUUGAUGUGUAAUGUCAAAGAUGUACGCCUACCUAGCCUACUUAUUUACUAUAUUAAUAUGCAAUAGCAACACAAAUUUGUGGACAUGAGAAUGACCAAAAGUAUCCAUGUCAAUAUUAAGUUGUUGUAAACCACCCCAUGCAUGUUAAAUAUAGAAUACUUGUAAUUAUGAUUCAAUCAGCAUUGAUAUUUAAGGCUCAACUAGAUUAAAGUUUGUGGGUUAAUUUUUCGAGGGAAAACAGAUUGUGAGAAAGAGAGAAUUAUGAGCUGUUUAGAGAGAGAGAUGAGUUGCCCUUGAGUGUUAUGUAAUGGUGUGAGUUCAAUUGCAGAAGCAAAGCUUCUCAAGAUUGUGUAAUUGGAACUGUUGUAAUCUCUCAUUAAAUAUCAGCUAAUAAAGAUUCUCUAAAGCCAUUGUUGUGGCUGUUUUCUGGCCGGUGGA